CUAUACAGUACUAGGCUACGACAGCAGUCUCACCAAACGGGCCAGCUAAGGCUAUGAGAACUAAGCCUGCCAUGAUGAUCCCUCAUUUCUCCUCCCCUGCUAGGCAGUGACGGAACUGAGGAUUGAUGGGGUGUUCGAGCCACUCCCAAAACCUACUAAAAGAUUCACUAGACUUUCCUCAACAAGCUGACGUAAGAUUUUGGUUGCAGCUGAUUGUGGGAGAGCAAAUUAAGUUCGAUCAAGUUUUCAGCUAUGUCUUUGUGGGUCAACGAGAUCAGCCACUAUACUAUAGUGUAAGAAAUUCGGGGAAUAAAGACAGGAGGGUUUAUUGUACAUCAAGUAUUUGACAAAUGGUUCCAGUGAAGAAGAGAUAUAUUGCAAGUUUUUUUCUGUUGAUCUGUGAACUUCAGUGUGAAGUGUGUUUGAGGAGCAAAGCAAAGUCAUUGAAUCCCAAUGAAGUUUGAUAGAUAAUUCAAUUAGAACUUGGGAGAAAUGUAUUGGUCUAUGUGGUUUGAUGGUUGGGCUUUCAUCCUGCAGAGAGAGGUUAAAGAAGAUUCCUACUUUUGUUUGAUUGUGAAAAGGAAGUGGUGGAGUUUUGUCAUAGUGAUUUUGGAGUCAAAGCUUUCAUAAAAUGAAAGUCCGAGCGGAGUUCUUGGAUCAACUAACAUGGGAUAUACCUGGAAUAUUUUGUUUACAUGGCCCAGUGGAAUGUUUGGAGAGUGCGUUUACUUGGUCAAGGAUGGCAAGACUUUGUGACUGGUAACUACUUGAGCAUGUUGUUGAUUAAAUAAGUUAUCUUAAAAAUUAAAAUACCAAUAAAACUGGAGUAUAUAAUGUACCUGAAACCGUCUAAAUACAUGAAAACCUCAAAGUAAACCAGCUGACUAUUUCCUUCUUAUUGUUUUUAUUAUUUUUGAUUUCUUCUUUUUAAAUGUUGCAUCUGAUAUUUUGAUUUCUACUUGCAAUAGUUAAUACUAUAACAUGUUUGAAGAAAUAAUUUGGUUAAUAAAUGUUGGGAAACUUGAGAUGAUAUGAAAUGCAUCGAGUCUUGAAAUGCUUUCAUAUUCGCCAACUUGGAAGUGGAAUUAAUAAAUAUAGUGCGGGAAAGAAGAAACUCUUCCCCACGAUUGAAUUAUUCUUAUUUCAGUUUAUUAGUCUGGUGGAUCGUGGUUCUUAGUGUGAAAAAUAUACAUAUAUUGCCGUAACCUUCUGUAGUAGCAAGUCGUCAAAUUCUAUCAUUACUUUUAGAUCAGAGCAAAACAAAAUUCUUCUUCUUCUCCAUCUCUAAAUUCAGUAAUGGCUACUGAUCAAGUCAAAGCUAAAGAUGUUUCAUCAUCAACUGUCGAUCCACUUUCUGUACCAGAGAAAACUGAAGCGGAUGAGUUUGGAUUUCAAAGACCUGACAUGUAUACUCUUAAUCUUUCAAACACAGUAGAACCUUAUCAUCGUCAUAUGUUUCUUGUUUAUAAGAAGGUUGAGAAUUGGGCAUCGUUCGUUGAAAAAACUGAGAAUGAUUCUCUUCCUGCACUUUUAGCUUCUGCUUUGAAAUCUCAUGCUGAUAAGUCUCCUAUCAAGACACGAUUGACAUUUUGUGAAGGACCUUCUGGAAAUGAGUCUUCUGACGGAGAUUUGUAUGUUUUUCCUGAAAUGCUCAAGUAUAAGGGUUUGACAAGUAAUGAUGCAGAUAAGUUUGUUGAAGAUGUGUUGGUAAAUGGAAAGGACUGGGUUUCUGGACCAGUGGAACGAUUAGAGGGUUCAUAUGUGUUUGUGUGUUGUCAUAUUGCUAGAGACAAGAGAUGUGGUACUUGUGGACCACAACUUAUUAAGAAAUUUAAAGAGGAGAUUGGAUCGAGGGCACUGAAGGAUCAAAUCUUUGUUGGUCCAUGUUCCCAUCUUGGUCAACAUAAGUUUGCAGGGAACUUGACUAUUUUUGGUCGCAAUUCGUCAGGAGAAGUUACUGGCCAUUGGUAUGGAUAUGUUACUCCUGAGGAUGUUCCUGCUAUGCUUGAUCAACAUAUUAUCAAGGGAGAAAUCAACAAAAAGAUAUGGAGAGGUCAAAUGUUGCCUUUCCCUACUCAAGAUAGCCAGCAAGUAGUCGAUGGUGGUGGUGAGAAAGGUAAGAAAGAGGAAUCUCAAGCAAGCACUGGAGCUAGUGAUGUGGUGAAGGAUGCGGGAGGCUGUUGCCAAGGUCUCAAUGGGGUUUCUUGUUGCAGAAACUAAAAUGUCAAAAUACUGCAAAUGUGAAGAAAGCAGCUGAAGGUGUCAAGAUCAGUUGUGUAGAGGUUGUAAUGGCUGCUGCCUUGAGCUGAUGUGCAGAUGGGUGAUGCCUGAGGAUACAAUGAGCUUUAGCUAUGGCAGAAGGUUCUUUUAUCUCCUGCCAUUACGACAUUAGUCCUUUUUUCCUCUAUUUUUCAAGCUCCGGUUACAGGCUCGCUUUGUUUAUGAUUGUCUGUAUUUUGCAACUCUUUAUGUUACAUGAAUAAAAUGGAUAUUUCUGUUGUGUUAAA